AAAGAAAAAGAAAAGAAAUGGGACCAAAUCUGGAAGAGUGGAGAAGGGAAAGGAAUCCGCAGAUAUUUGUAACGUGUCAAUCAAACUUUUGAGUCUCCAGAAAUGAGAAGCAGAUAAAUACAAACAGGUACAACAAACUUCAAUCAGCGUUGUUGUUUGAGCCAGAGAGAGUCUCUUUACCUUCUUAGCCGUUCAUCUCUUUUUGCAUCUUUCUAUUUCUCAUCGUCGAUUCCAAACCAAAGUGUUUGGGAAUAUGUGGUUCACGAAGACAAACCUAAAAAAUAUACUUAUGCUAGCGGAUUGAGAGCUUGAAGAGGGAAAAAAGUAGUUCUGUAAUUAGUGACUUGCAGAGAUGUUGGGGAGAAAAAGGACUUGCGCAAAAUGGCUGUUGACCACAAAAUAUGGUUUUGCGAAAUCCUUUUCUGUUGAUUGGGUCCUCCAUCCCAGAUAUUCAAAUAAUGGAAGCAAAGUGGGCCCAAGUACUGGAUGAUGGGGCAAGAAAUGUUGUCUGUUUGGACAGGAAAAGGGCAGCUCGAUGCACAAAAAAAAUAGUUAGCGUUCGCCAACAAGUGUUGUCACAACGGUCUGGCUUGAACUUAUCUUUUGGCAAGGUCGGUAAGCGUAAGAGAUCAGAUUCAUGCAAAAGUCAGUGUGGAUCAUGCUCGAAGAGAUCUUUACUUAAAAACUAUAUGAAUUUCACUAAAAGUGGGCUUCCUCAACGAUUUUUGUAUCAUCAAAAUGGUGAGUGGACUGAUUAUCCUCAAGACAUUGUGGAGUUGGUCAGGAGGCAUUUUCACUUGAAAAAUGCGGCAGUGAAUGUGGAAUUCAAUGGCUGCCAUUUAUUGCUUGAUAUUUUGUAUAUGAUUGAAUUGGAGUUGAAAACGGGUUUACAGAAGUACAUUGCUUGGAUUGAUGAAGCGGGAUGUUGCUUCUUUCCAGAAUUCCCCUCUUGUGUUAGUGAAACAUGUGAGUUCUGCCAAUCUAAGUUAGAGGAUGAUGCAACUGUUUCAUUAUCAGAGCCAAAUGAGAUGCCUGACAUCAAGUUGCAGCUUGAGAUUGGAUUAACUGAAGUGAAUAGUUCUAAUUCAGAGGAAUGUGUUGAAGAGUCAAAUGUUCGUGCUAAGCGGAAUAAGGUUGAAACAAAAUCUGUUAGUAACUGUGAGGAUCUGGAAGUCAGUGACAAUGAUAAUCGAACUUCAGAUUUCAGUUCACACAAGUCUAGGGGGGAAAAUCAACAAAUUGCUGAAAAUAGAACAACUAAGUAUGUAGUUAUGCACGAAAUGCUGGACUUUGAUACCGUGAAGGACAAGUUUGUUACGGGCAUGGGUUCAUCUGUAAGUGCAAAUAUACUAGAGGUCAAGCGCUGCUCUAGUGAUUUGUUGCAAACUCGGCUAGAGCUAUUUCAAAAGCAGGUUGAAAUAACCAAGAAGAAUCGUGGCAAUCCAAAUGUCCAAUAUGGCUGGCUAGCUGCUAGUAAAGAUGCUUUAUCUAGCAUCAUGACAUAUGGGCUUGGGCACGGUGGACACAAAAUGAUGUCCUCAUAUGGCAUUGGAGUUCACCUUGCACCAUUAAACUAUUCGCAUAUAAGUGCAAGUUAUUGUGAUGAUGACGAAAAUGGGAUAAGAUACGUAGUGUUCUGUUGUGUGAUAUUGGGAAAUGUGGAGGUUGUCAGUCCUGGAUCUGUACAAUGUCGUCCCAGCACUGAAAACUUCGAUAGUGGAGUUGAUAGCCUUCAAAGCCCACAUCAUUAUAUAGUUUGGAAUAUGAAUAUGAAUACCCAUAUUUUUCCAGAGUUUGUUGUCAGUUUCACGAUGUCUUCCAGUGCUGAUGGUGGAUGUCUUGUUGCUAAAGAAAAUAGAAUUGAUGUCUCGGGAAUUACUACUUGUGAGUGGCCUCAAAGCCAGGUGCAGUUGUAUCGCUCUCCAGUUGUAUCAGAGAAUUGUCAACCAUUUCCAGAGCUUGGGAAGAAAUGCCAAGAAAAGAUUGUGACCCUUGGUUCAAAUUCUUCGAAGACUCCCAAAUCACCAUGGAUGCCUUUUGGCAAGUUGUUUGAAGUUAUCUCAAAAGAAACAUCUCCUAAAGAUAUGGAGUUGGUGAACAUUCAUUAUCAACAAUUCAAGAGCAAUAAGAUUAGUAGGGAAGAUUUUGUUAAAAAGUUGAGAUGGAUUGUUGGGGAUACGUUGUUGAGGUCCACCCUAAUGGGUCUUCAGUGCGAGCCGCCAGUUAUGAAAACGCCAAAGCUGGAGCCAGAAUAAUGGCUCACUUCUGACUGUUACUGGGGUUUGCUGUAUGCCUGGAGGAGACCCGUUGCCAACCAAUGGGAGCUUCGAAUUGGGCGGAUAAUGGGUCAAUUGUUGUCGGUUUCGUGGAUUUGGUGGUUUUAGGCCAGGUCUGAACAGCCCUGAUUUAAGGAUUUAUUUAUAAUGGGUUUAGUAUUAAGUUGGUGAAAAUUGCUCAAGACAAUUGAUCUUGCGAUUUGCUUGCGAGUGGAUAACCUGCGAAAGGUCACAUUAGAAGCGCAUGCUGGAAGCUAAACAAUCUUUUGCCAAACUGUAUUUUGCGAGUCAUUUUGCGAUUUGACCUAGUCGCGAGUAACCCGUGAAACUCACUACUUGGACGAUUUUAAAUGUGACUUUUAUACUCUUCUUCCAUAUUAUAUAUACCCUCACUACCCGCAAAAGUGAAAGAAGGCUAUUCAUAAGAAAACCCUAAAAAGGUUUCUACAACUCCUACCUUGUUAGAGAGAGCUACACAUCCUCAAGAGAUAAAUUCUUAUACUCUCUUCUCCUCCCCUCUCCAAUUAUUAGACCUUGAGAGGAUAUUUGUACCCAAACAGAACUCACACCUAUUUAGAGUGUAGAAAGUGUUUUGGAAUUUGGGAAGCAUUGGGUAUUUGCCAAAAUAAGACGGUGAGGCUUGGCAGAUACAAUUGGGCGGUAUUGCGGGAUUUGGGAAGUUAGUGAAGAUAAGACUUCGAGAAGUCUAUUGAUAGCUGAAACUUGGAGGGUUUAAGUACUUUGGGUAGAUUAGGCUUGGAGGGUCUUUUUGGUAUCAUUGUACUCCAACUUAUUCAUUAGUAGAUCAUUUUGGCUUGGAGGGUCAAGGAGAGGUUUUUACGUCAAGUUUUUCGGUUUUCCUCUUUGAUAACA